ACAUGCAAGUCGAACGGUAACAGGAAGCAGCUUGCUGCUUUGCUGACGAGUGGCGGACGGGUGAGUAAUGUCUGGGAAACUGCCUGAUGGAGGGGGAUAACUACUGGAAACGGUGGCUAAUACCGCAUAACGUCGCAAGACCAAAGAGGGGGACCUUCGGGCCUCUUGCCAUCAGAUGUGCCCAGAUGGGAUUAGCUUGUUGGUGAGGUAACGGCUCACCAAGGCGACGAUCCCUAGCUGGUCUGAGAGGAUGACCAGCCACACUGGAACUGAGACACGGUCCAGACUCCUACGGGAGGCAGCAGUGGGGAAUAUUGCACAAUGGGCGCAAGCCUGAUGCAGCCAUGCCGCGUGUAUGAAGAAGGCCUUCGGGUUGUAAAGUACUUUCAGCGGGGAGGAAGGUGUUGUGGUUAAUAACCGCAGCAAUUGACGUUACCCGCAGAAGAAGCACCGGCUAACUCCGUGCCAGCAGCCGCGGUAAUACGGAGGGUGCAAGCGUUAAUCGGAAUUACUGGGCGUAAAGCGCACGCAGGCGGUCUGUCAAGUCGGAUGUGAAAUCCCCGGGCUCAACCUGGGAACUGCAUUCGAAACUGGCAGGCUUGAGUCUUGUAGAGGGGGGUAGAAUUCCAGGUGUAGCGGUGAAAUGCGUAGAGAUCUGGAGGAAUACCGGUGGCGAAGGCGGCCCCCUGGACAAAGACUGACGCUCAGGUGCGAAAGCGUGGGGAGCAAACAGGAUUAGAUACCCUGGUAGUCCACGCCGUAAACGAUGUCUACUUGGAGGUUGUGCCCUUGAGGCGUGGCUUCCGGAGCUAACGCGUUAAGUAGACCGCCUGGGGAGUACGGCCGCAAGGUUAAAACUCAAAUGAAUUGACGGGGGCCCGCACAAGCGGUGGAGCAUGUGGUUUAAUUCGAUGCAACGCGAAGAACCUUACCUGGUCUUGACAUCCACAGAAGAAUCCAGAGAUGGAUUUGUGCCUUCGGGAACUGUGAGACAGGUGCUGCAUGGCUGUCGUCAGCUCGUGUUGUGAAAUGUUGGGUUAAGUCCCGCAACGAGCGCAACCCUUAUCCUUUGUUGCCAGCGGUUAGGCCGGGAACUCAAAGGAGACUGCCAGUGAUAAACUGGAGGAAGGUGGGGAUGACGUCAAGUCAUCAUGGCCCUUACGACCAGGGCUACACACGUGCUACAAUGGCGCAUACAAAGAGAAGCGACCUCGCGAGAGCAAGCGGACCUCAUAAAGUGCGUCGUAGUCCGGAUUGGAGUCUGCAACUCGACUCCAUGAAGUCGGAAUCGCUAGUAAUCGUGGAUCAGAAUGCCACGGUGAAUACGUUCCCGGGCCUUGUACACACCGCCCGUCACACCAUGGGAGUGGGUUGCAAAAGAAGUAGGUAGCUUAACCUUCGGGAGGGCGCUUACCACUUUGUGAUUCAUGACUGGGGUGAAGUCGUAACAAGGUAACCGUAGGGGAACCUGCGGUUGGAUCACCUCCUUACCUUAAAGAA
rnacentral:rRNA from 2 species